UGCAUAUCAAAAAAGCGGAGCAAAAGAAACCAACAGGGAUUGCCCCAGUAACGGCGAGUGAAGCGGCAACAGCCACAAAUUUGAAAUCUGGCCCCCCGGCCCGAGUUGUAAUUUGGAGAGGAUGCUUUUGGCGCGGCGCCGUCCGAGUUCCUUGGAACAGGACUCCACAGAGGGUGAGAGCCCCGUACGGACGGACGCCUAGCCUUUACAAAGCUCCUUAGAGGAGUUGAGUAGUUUGGGAAUGUUGCUCAAAAUGGGAGGUAAAUUUGUUAUAAAGUUAAAUACCGGCCAGAGACCGAUAGCGCACAAGUAGAGUGAUCGAAAGAAGAAAAGCACUUUGAAAAGAGGGUUAAAAAGUACGUGAAAUUGUUGAAAGGGAAGCACCUGUGACCAGACUUGCGCCCCGUGGACCACCCGGCGUUCUCGCCGGUGCACUCCGCGGGGCGCAGGCCAGCAUCGGUUUUCCUAGGGGGACAAAGGCCGCGGGAACGUAGCUCCUUCGGGAGUGUUAUAGCCCGCGGCGGCAUGCCCCUGGGGGGACCGAGGACCGCGCUUCGGCAAGGAUACGACGUAUCACA
rnacentral:rRNA from 1 species